rnacentral:lncRNA from 1 species
CUGACAAAGAAAUCAUCAUUCUCUAAGUCAGGAUCCAGGGCUGCCAUCUCGAGGUCAUCUCUUCUAUAGCCUGGUGCAUAAGAGAGAUUCUUCCUGCGGGUUAUGAGCCUUGGGCCAGCAGUUCACAUCUUCUGGGGUCCAACAUUUGGGAAGAAACUGAUCAAAAGCAUUCCCUGGGUUUGGCAUGACUGGACUGAGCUUGCGCACAUAAAGAUCAUCCUUUACAAUGUUGGGUAUG